UCGCCUCGCCCGCCUUUUAGGUGUUCCGCGCUCCGGUAUAUGAGAGUACACACAGAACGUCGACGUUUCGAGCGAAUUAAGGCUCUUCGUCGAGGGAAGGCAGUGCAUGUAAUUAAAUAUUACCUGCCCAAUUUUGGUCAGUGUAUCCACCAAAUAUAAAAUUAUCGACUUUGAUCAAGACCACUGUUGAUCCUUUGUUAUCGCAAUGUCGGUGAAAAUCUUGGCCAGCCCAACCAUCACGUGAUGCUCGGUAACAAAGAUUCAAUUUACACUUGUCUCCCAACCAUUGUUGCAUUUGUUCAAUGAAGGCAAUCUCUCCUUUCAGAAUACUAGACGAUUUGGCCAAAUUUGAAUUUAAUUUUGCACCU